AAAGCUUACUGUGUGUCUGAUGUGGCCCAGGUACUGUGAGUUCAGAGUCCUGCUCUUGAGAAACUCACAGUCUCCAAGGAGAAGCAGGAUCUCAAGAGCUGAAACUGACUUGACGCCGGAGACCGCUGCUUCCCCUGCUCAAGUAUUCAAGUGACUAUGGCACCCAGGAAUAACAAUGAGAACGGCACAAAGACCACCACUUCAGAAUGGCGUUCAUGGAUGGAGAUGGGCCAAGUGUGCAGGGCAACAGACCCCCAAAGCACUUUGUGUGUGACAACUUCAAAUUUUUGAUAGAACUAGAUGUUGAAAUAAAAAUUAGGGAUGGAUGGCAAU
rnacentral:lncRNA from 1 species